ACACCAUUCCCACCAGCAGCCUCGGAUCCCAAAUUCAUCCAGCGGAUCCAGAAGUCGCCAUGACAGGAGCCGUAUUAGAGCACCCAGUGCUGGGAGCUCCACUCACUGGUGGGAUGGUGAGACAGAGACCCACCACUGACACGUCUCAUGUCAGACAGGGAGGAGGAGGCCCCCAGAGGGAGGGAACCAGCAUGCCUGCUGUGUCAGCCAGCAGAGGCUGACCUGGACACCUGCGGGGAAAAACUCCAGAGAAAUGGAUUCUGUGCCCACGAGUUCUGCCUGUUUUUUGCCAGCCACCUUCCUCAGCACAAUGAUGAUCAAGUAGGACUCCAGGGC